AAUGAACGCUGGCGGCGCGCCUAAUACAUGCAAGUCGAGCGAGAAGACGUAGCAAUACGUUUGUAAAGCGGCGAACGGGUGAGGAAUACAUGGGUAACCUACCCUCGAGUGGGGAAUAACUAGCCGAAAGGUUAGCUAAUACCGCGUACGCUCCUUGGACUUCGGUUCAGGGAGGAAAGCGAUACCGUGGGUAUCGCGCUCUUGGUUGGGCUCAUGUCCUAUCAGCUUGUUGGUGAGGAACGGCUCACCAAGGCUUCGACGGGUAGCUGGUCUGAGAGGACGAUCAGCCACACUGGCACUGCGACACGGGCCAGACCCCUACGGGAGGCAGCAGUAAGGAAUAUUGCGCAAUGGG
rnacentral:rRNA from 1 species